rnacentral:rRNA from 1 species
GAUGAACGCUAGCGGCGUGCCUAAUACAUGCAAGUCGAGCGAACGGACGAGAAGCUUGCUUCUCUGAUGUUAGCGGCGGACGUGUGAGUAACACGUGGAUAACCUACCUAUUAGACUGGGAUAACUUCGGGAAACCGUAGCUAAUACCGUAUAAUAUUUUUAACCGCAUGGUUCAAAAGUGAAAGACGGUCUUGCUGUCACUUAUAGAUGGAUCCGCGCUGCAUUAGCUAGUUGGUAAGGUAACGGCUUACCAAGGCAACGAUGCAUAGCCGACCUGAGAGGGUGAUCGGCCACACUGGAACUGAGACACGGUCAAGACUCCUACGGGAGGCAGCAGUAGGGAAUCUUCCGCAAUGGGCGAAAGCCUGACGGAGCAACGCCGCGUGAGUGAUGAAGGUCUUCGGAUCGUAAAACUCUGUUAUUAGGGAAGAACAUAUGUGUAAGUAACUGUGCACAUCUUGACGGUACCUAAUCAGAAAGCCACGGCUAACUACGUG